rnacentral:rRNA from 1 species
GACGAACGCUGGCGGCGUGCUUAACACAUGCAAGUCGAGUGGAAAGGCCCUUCGGGGUACUCGAGCGGCGAACGGGUGAGUAACACGUGAGUAACCUGCCCCAGACUUUGGGAUAACCCUCGGAAACGGGGGCUAAUACCGGAUACGACACAGCUUCGCAUGGGGUCUGUGUGGAAAGUUUUUCGGUUUGGGAUGGGCUCGCGGCCUAUCAGCUUGUUGGUGGGGUGAUGGCCUACCAAGGCGACGACGGGUAGCCGGCCUGAGAGGGCGACCGGCCACACUGGGACUGAGACACGGCCCAGACUCCUACGGGAGGCAGCAGUGGGGAAUAUUGCACAAUGGGCGGAAGCCUGAUGCAGCGACGCCGCGUGAGGGAUGACGGCCUUCGGGUUGUAAACCUCUUUCAGCAGGGACGAAGCGUAAGUGACGGUACCUGCAGAAGAAGCGCCGGCCAACUACGUG